CAAAACUCAGUGACCUGGGAGUGGAAUGAUCAGAAGCAAAAUGAAGAGUCAGGCUCAGCUGUGAGAAAAGGUAGAAGAAUGUAAGACUGCCACUCAGCACACUGAAAGGACUUGGGUUCUUUAAUUAAUUUCUGCUCCUCCCUUUUCAGGGGAUCAAAAAGCAAUAGAAGUGUAUGAGAAAUAUACAGGCAGACGAUUUUACUUUAAGGAUUGUUUCCUUGAGAAUUCAGGGCAAGAAAAAUAACUGUGGACAUUAAGACAGUGGGCUUGUUGUGAAGCAGCAAUUUUGCAGUAAUGUAUAAAUUUUAAAAAGCUAAUUCCUUCUCAGUAAUUUCCAGCUCAGGAUGUGUGUGGUAGUACUCCCAGGCACAAAGUUC
rnacentral:lncRNA from 1 species